rnacentral:rRNA from 1 species
GUGGGGAAUCUUCCGCAAUGGACGAAAGUCUGACGGUGCAACGCCGCGUGAGUGAUGAAGGUCUUCGGAUUGUAAAGCUCUGUUAAUCGGGACGAAAGAGCCUAGUGUGAAUAAUGCUAGGAAGUGACGGUACCGGAAUAGAAAGCCACGGCUAACUACGUGCCAGCAGCCGCGGUAAUACGUAGGUGGCAAGCGUUGUCCGGAAUUAUUGGGCGGAAAGCGCGCGCAGGCGGAUCUGCCAGUCUGUCUUAAAAGUUCGGGGCUUAACCCCGUGAUGGGAUGGAAACUACAGAUCUAGAGUAUCGGAGAGGAAAGUGGAAUUCCUAGUGUAGCGGUGAAAUGCGUAGAUAUUAGGAAGAACACCAGUGGCGAAGGCGACUUUCUGGACGAAAACUGACGCUGAGGCGCGAAAGCCAGGGGAGCGAACGGGAUUAGAUACCCCUGUAGUCC